rnacentral:tRNA from 2 species
GUCUCUAUAGUUCAACGGAUAGAACAGCGGUUUCCUAAACCGUAGAUCUGGGUUCGAUUCCCAGUAGAGAUA